rnacentral:rRNA from 1 species
UACGUAGGGUGCGAGCGUUGUCCGGAAUUAUUGGGCGUAAAGAGCUCGUAGGUUGCCAACUAAGUCAGACGUGAAAUCCCUCGGCUUAACCGGGGAACUGCGUCUGAUACUGGAUGGCUUGAGUUCGGGAGAGGGAUGCGGAAUUCCAGGUGUAGCGGUGAAAUGCGCAGAUAUCAGGAGGAACACCGGUGGCGAAGGCGCCACUCUGGGCCGAAACUGACGCUGAGGAGCGAAAGCGUGGGUAGCAAACAGG